rnacentral:rRNA from 1 species
GAUGAACGCUGGCGGCGUGCCUAAUACAUGCAAGUCGAGCGAACAGACGAGGAGCUUGCUCCUCUGACGUUAGCGGCGGACGGGUGAGUAACACGUGGAUAACCUACCUAUAAGACUGGGAUAACUUCGGGAAACCGGAGCUAAUACCGGAUAAUAUAUUGAACCGCAUGGUUCAAUAGUGAAAGACGGUUUUGCUGUCACUUCUAGAUGGAUCCGCGCCGCAUUAGCUAGUUGGUAAGGUAACGGCUUACCAAGACAACGAUGCGUAGCCGACCUGAGAGGGUGAUCGGCCACACUGGAACUGAGACACGGUCCAGACUCCUACGGGAGGCAGCAGUAGGGAAUCUUCCGCAAUGGGCGAAAGCCUGACGGAGCAACGCCGCGUGAGUGAUGAAGGUCUUCGGAUCGUAAAACUCUGUUAUUAGGGAAGAACAAAUGUGUAAGUAACUAUGCACGUCUUGACGGUACCUAAUCAGAAAGCCACGGCUAACUACGUG